UCCCCAUAAAUUUGUGGGUAUGUCAGCC
rnacentral:piRNA from 1 species